rnacentral:rRNA from 1 species
GGAGGGUGCGAGCGUUGUCCGGAAUCACUGGGCGUAAAGGGCGCGUAGGCGGCCCGAUAAGUAGGGGGUGAAAUCCUGCGGCUUAACCGCAGGGCUGCCUUCUAAACUGUCAGGCUAGAGCACGGUAGAGGCAGAUGGAAUUCCCGGUGUAGCGGUGGAAUGCGUAGAGAUCGGGAAGAACAUCAGUGGCGAAGGCGGUCUGCUGGGCCGUUGCUGACGCUGAGGCGCGACAGCGUGGGGAGCAAACAGGAUUAGAUACCCUGGUAGUCCACGCCGUAAACGAUGGGCACUAGGCGUCGGGGGGAGCGACCCCCCCGGUGCCGUCGCUAACGCAGUAAGUGCCCCGCCUGGGGAGUACGGCCGCAAGGCUG